ensembl:lncRNA
CUUUAGGUACCUCAUGGUCUGGGAGUCUUUAGGUACCUCAUGGUCUGGGAGUCUUUAGGUACCUAACGGUCUGGGAGUCUUUAGGUACCUAAUGGUCUGAGAGUCUUUAGGUACCUAAUGGUCUGGGAGUCUUUAGGUACCUCAUGGUCUGGGAGUCUUUAGGUACCUCAUGGUCUGAGAGUCUUUAGGUACCUCAUGGUCUGGGAGUCUUUAGGUACCUUUUGGAAAACUCCAAGCGGGCUGUCAUGUGCUUUUUACUGAGGAGUGGCUUCCGUCUGGCCACUCUACCAUAAACUGGUGGAGUGUUGCAGAGAUGGGUUCUUGGUAACCUCCCUGACCAAGGCCCUUCUCCCCCGAUUGCUCAGUUUGGUCAAGGGGUCUGAAUACUUUCCGAAUGCAGUGUACAUUGUGUGUCCCCACAAGGUAAGUUAAACAAGAUGGCGAUUGUGUGUGUUUCCAGUAACAUCCCAAUAACAAAACAGCUUCUGUCUCAAGGUCAUCAGACUGUUAAACAGCCAUCACUAACAGAGUGGCUGCUGCCAACAUACAGACUCAAAUCUCUGGCCACUUUAAUAAAUGUCAUAAAUAGAUUUAAUACAGGUAUCACUAGUCACUUUAAAUAACACCACUUUAAUCAUGUCCUCAUUUCCUACAUUACUCAUCUCAUAUGUACAUACUGUAUUUUAUACCAUCUAUUGCAUCUUACCUAUGCCACAUGGCCAUCGCUCAUUCAUAUAUUUAUAUGUACAUAUACUUAUUCACCCCUUUACAUUUGUGUGUAUAAGGUAGUCGUUGUGAAUUUGUUAGAUUACUUGUUAGAUAUUACUGCACUGUCGGAACU